UAUCUCUACUUCAAUCUCUGUCUCUCUUAUUUAAACACGCACACGCCGUGUCUGUUUAUUCGGUAUUCAAUGAUACGUACGACAAGGACGAAAAUACAUAAAUAAAUACUUAGAUAUCUACAUAUAUACGUCGUCAUUAACCACAGUCGCGUUAGUUGUUAAACAUCUUCUAAACGGGACGUUUCAACUUCCUAAACAUCGAUAGCACACGUAAGUCUCAAGGCAAUUUUUCUUACGAACGAACGAACACGUACGAACAUUACUUCCAUCCUGGAUGUGGAUUAAAAUGCGAGGGAGAAGCCGAUCUCGUCUUUCGUAUCGAAGAAUUCUUCGCUUUAAGGAAAAGAUACAUUGGUAAGAGUUUUAGAAAGAAGAAUUUUACCGUUCCAGGAUCCACUUAUAUUAUAUCUAAUAAUGCGAAUAGAAAUAUAUUCAAGGUGGACGCUUAAUCCAAGGAUCAAAAGACCGUGAAGGCAACGAACGAAUGUUCUAUCCACCUCGGUGUAUUUCUCUCGCAUGCUUGCGGAUAGAUAAUGACCACGAGCAAACAUGGAAAAAUAAGUAGGAGAACUGAGCGUGAUAAAUGAGAGCUUUAUCUCGCAUCUAUUUUGAUCCAUUGAUUAAUCGGCCUUUUUGCGGAAAUUGCGAGACGACAAAUGGGGAAAAGUGAAUCACACGGAAAUGAGUUAGUCGUAAGCGUGGGUUGAGACCGAGGUCACGGGUGAAACGAAUAUUUCUAGAGGACCAACCUUGAUGACGAGUAGGAGAACAGCUCUGAGGUAUAUCUCGAUGUAUCGAGUCGACAUCGAAGCCAACGUCGCUUUAAAUCUCCUGAGAGGGUAUCCGAUCGAGUAAUUUUUUUAACAGCGUUCUCCGAAAGUAAUUCGUGAGAAACAAAAAUAACCGAAACGCUCGAUUACUAAAUCUCGUGACCGUAUCGAUCCUUUACGUACUCACAAUUUCUCUCUCUCUCUCUCUCUCUUUUUUUUCUUUUUUUUUCCCCGUUUGUUACGCACAACGGGCACGAAAUCGUGUCGAGACCUACACCGUGAAAAAGUGGACCAAUAGAGUAGUAAGGCGGAUCGAAAGCAUCGCGUCAUGUGAACGAGCUUUGACUAGCGAGGCCUUACUCGACAACGAGACUGCCUACUCCGCCACCCCCUCAGCAUCCUACACUGCCUACUACUUCUGUGUUCUCCCGCCGGCUGUUGGAGUCAGUACGUGUGGAAGCGAGAAAUGAAUGAAAAAGGACUGGCAAAGCCUAGUACGAGAAAUGGAAGGCGAGAAGAAAGAAAGAGAGAGAGAGAGAGAGAGAGAGAGAAAAAGAUAAAGAGAAAGAGAAACAGAAGAAGAGAGUGAAAUUCGACGAGUAAGGAGUGAAGAGGAUUGAGGAUGACACGCAACAACCGACGCUUUUUUCCUCGAUAAUUCUGGCGCCUUGUCUCGAGGCCAUGUCACUGACUGUGGGAAAUUGCAAUGACGAAAUUUAAACGGGCGAAACGAUGAAGAGCGAACGGUGAUGAUGUUACGUUCAUGUUCGAGAGAGAAAUUUAAGAGAGAGAGAGAGAGAGAGAGAGAGAGAGAGAGGGAGAGAAAUAUAGUACGAAUGAACGUGGCAGCUGCGUUACGAGUAGGUCAGUUUUGUGAUCGUGCAUAUAUCGAAUAACGAAAUCGGUUAACAUAAAUCCGAUCGAAGUUGAAUUUGUCGAUUGUUGUCUCGAUUGAUUUAAACUAGAUAGAUGAAAAAUUAUAUAACAAUUUUUGUUUUACGAUUAAAUAGAGGGAUAAAAUCUAUCUGUGUGUGUGUGUGCGUGUGUGUCUGUCAACGUACGUGCAUCGAAAAAAACAUGGAUGUUUUAAAAAAUGGAAUAUUUCGAAAAUUUUAA